UGAAGUGUAGCACAGUAGUAGAGUGCUUGCUUAGCAAGCAUGAGGCCCUAGGUUUAAUUCCCAGCACCAA
rnacentral:tRNA from 1 species